UACGGGGGGAGCAAGCGUUGUUCGGAUUUACUGGGCGUAAAGGGCGCGUAGGCGGCGUGACUAGUCACUUGUGAAAUCUCCGGGCUUAACUCGGAACGGUCAAGUGAUACUGUCGUGCUAGAGUACAGAAGGGCAACUGGAAUUCUCGGUGUAGCGGUGAAAUGCGUAGAUAUCGAGAGGAACACCUGCGGCGAAGGCGGGUUGCUGGCUGAUGACUGACGCUGAUGCGCGAAAGCCAGGGAGCGAACGGG
rnacentral:rRNA from 1 species